rnacentral:rRNA from 1 species
UACGAGGGGGGCGAGCGUUGUUCGGAAUUAUUGGGCGUAAAGGGUGCGUAGGCGGCCUGACAAGUCUGAUGUGAAAUCCCUGGGCUCAACCCAGGGCCUGCAUCGGAAACUGUCGGGCUUGAGUAUGGGAGAGGUGAGUGGAAUUUCCGGUGUAGCGGUGAAAUGCGUAGAUAUUGCUCGGAAGGCCAACGGCGAAGGCAGGUUACUGGUGCGCAACUGACACUGAGGCACGAAAGCGUGGGGAGCAAACAGG